GACGAACGCUGGCGGCGUGCUUAACACAUGCAAGUCGAACGGAAAGGCCCUGCUUUUGUGGGGUGCUCGAGUGGCGAACGGGUGAGUAACACGUGAGUAACCUGCCCUUGACUUUGGGAUAACUUCAGGAAACUGGGGCUAAUACCGGAUAGGAGCUCCUGCUGCAUGGUGGGGGUUGGAAAGUUUCGGCGGUUGGGGAUGGACUCGCGGCUUAUCAGCUUGUUGGUGGGGUAGUGGCUUACCAAGGCUUUGACGGGUAGCCGGCCUGAGAGGGUGACCGGCCACAUUGGGACUGAGAUACGGCCCAGACUCCUACGGGAGGCAGCAGUGGGGAAUAUUGCACAAUGGGCGGAAGCCGGAUGCAGCAACGACGCUUGCGGGAUGACGGCCUUCGGGUUGUAAACCGCUUUCGCCUGUGACGAAGCGUGAGUGACGGUAAUGGGUAAAGAAGCACCGGCUAACUACGUG
rnacentral:rRNA from 1 species